CAGGAUCAAACCCGGGUCUCUGGCACUGUAAGGCAGCAACUCUACCGCUGUGCCACCGUGCCGCUACUGUGCAGAUGCUGGCUAACCUGCCGAGUUCCUCCAGCACUUUGUGCUGUGCCUGCGCUUGAUGCAUUUUUAAACAAGGGUAGGGAAGUUAUUUUUAAACCUAAACAUACUUUAUUCUGGUGUUUAUCUUGCUUCUCUGAAGGCAGGGAACAUUUUCCUCAUUCCAAGAAGUCCUUGAAGCACAAUGAUCAUUGUGGUAUUUAUGCUCCUACAAUGAUAGGUGGAGAAAGAUAGUGGUUGCUACUAGAUACCUGCAGAAGUUGGAUGGGUUGAUACAUAUAUGAAUCUCACCACGACAACUGGAGAAUUUAAAUUCAGGUGAUCAAAUCUUGAAUUAAAACUUUGUAUCAAUGAAGGUGAGUUUGAAGACCAACAGUUUCACCUUUGGGGAGCGACUACACAAUUUGGGUUCUGUGACUCCUGACCCACAGAUGGGUUGAAGCAAUCCAAUAACGACAUUUGAACAGGUACAUGGAUAGGAAAGAUUUAGAGGGAUCCACAAUUCUCUUCAUAUCCAUGUACCUUUCUAAAACCUUCUUAAAUAUCUCUAAUCUGCUUGUAUCACCACACCUGGAAGUUCCAGGCAACCAACUGUGUUAAAGAAACUUGCCCACACAUCUUUAUACUUUAACCCUCUCGCCUUCAAGCUGUCUGAUGUUUCCACCCUGGGGAAAAAAGCUUCUGACUGUCUACCCUAUCUAUACCUCAUAAUUUUGUAUACUUCUUGCACAGCCAAUACCUUUGGAGUAUGGGACUCCAGCGCAAACUCAAAGUAACUAUCCCAUAUCACUCAAAUCUUAUUAACAUCUGUUAAUUGGGAUUUCUUGGCCUUUAAUCCAAGAAUCUAUUCAUAAAAUUAGAGUACAAGGGGGUAGACGCAUGUUUACCCUGAAAUUUGGUUAGAAUUAAUUUCAUGACCUUGUUAGUUCUGACCAUAAAGAUUCAUAAUGCGCUGUGAUAUCCUGUGAAAUUUGUGGGUAUGCGAUAGGUGUAUAUGGUACCAAUCCUCAAAUGAACUUGAGGACUAUAUCUGUUUUUUGGGAAGCUGCAACAAAGUGCUUAAAUCGUUUAUUUAUUUGCCUCUGUCCUUCACAAUUUGAGAUUUGUAACAGAAAAUAAUCACAUGUGGUUAAAGUGCACUUUGUCAGAUUUUAAUAAAGGCCAUUUUAAUACAUUUUGGUUUUGCCAUGUAGAAAUUACAGCAGUGCAGAAAUCACAGUGUAGUUAUUAGUCAGUGGAAUGUUUUUUUUAAAUAAAAUAAGACAACGCUGGAGUAACUCAGUGGGUCAGACAACAUCCCUGGAGAACAUGGAUAGGUGAACAUGUUUCUGUCAGGACCCUUCAGACUGUGGGGGUGAGGGGGAAGAAAGUUAUAAGAGAUGAGGGGCAGUACAAAGCAUGGCAGGCUUUGUGUGUGAACAUAGGUGCGGGUUGGUUGACAGGCAGAUGGUUUGACAAAGGCCAGAGAUAAAAAAAGGUGUGAGAUGAGGACAAAACUUGAAGAGGACAAAACGUGAACGAACAAAGAGUUACAAAUUGUGAAGCCAAAGGAAGCAAUGCAUGUAGAAGGGAGAAGGGAGAAAUAGGUCCAUGUCUGGUUGGGGGAAAGGAAGGGUGGGAUUUGUUUGAAAUUACUUCAUAUUAGUGAAAUUGAUGUUCAGACCAUUAGGUUGUAAGCUAUCCAAACAGAAUAUGAGGUGCUGUUCCUGAAAAGGUUAAAUGCUUUUAAAUAUAUAAAAGAUAUAUAAUGGAAUCCUGGACUAGGUUAUAGCUUAUAUUUCAUUUGAAAUGUGUCUACUAAUUGACAUGAGACAAGCUCACACGCAUCCUGUGGUAACGUGUAUUGACUAUCUCUGACCAUGCCUAACAUCUUUGGAAUGUGACUAAGUGACAAACACACAGUAUAAAAUAUCAUGCAAUUCUUUAUUCGUUGAAGUGGUGACACGAGGAAAGUCAAGUGUUUGUGUUGCUUACUUGACUGGAGUAUCCUCGUCACUUCCCGGCCGAUGAUCAGUAAAACUUGAGUUGGUCUAACUAA